rnacentral:rRNA from 1 species
GACGAACGCUGGCGGCGUGCCUAAUACAUGCAAGUUGAGCGCUGAAGGUUGGUACUUGUACCAACUGGAUGAGCAGCGAACGGGUGAGUAACGCGUGGGGAAUCUGCCUUUGAGCGGGGGACAACAUUUGGAAAGGAAUGCUAUUACGCCAUAAAAACUUUAAACACAGUUUUUAGGUUUAAAAGAGGCAAUUGCAUCACCAAAAGUGGAUCCCGCGUUGUAUUAGCUAGUUGGUGAGGUAAAGGCUCACCAAGGCGAUGAUACAUAGCCGACCUGAGAGGGUGAUCGGCCACAUUGGGACUGAGACACGGCCCAAACUCCUACGGGAGGCAGCAGUAGGGAAUCUUCGGCAAUGGACGAAAGUCUGACCGAGCAACGCCGCGGGAGUGAAGAAGGUUUUCGGAUCGUAAAACUCUGUUGGUAGAGAAGAACGUUGGUGAGAGUGGAAAGCUCAUCAAGUGACGGUAACUACCCAGAAAGGGACGGCUAACUACGUG